CUAGCCGUAAACGGUGUGCACUUGGUGUGGGAGGAUUUAUCCCCUUCCGUGCCGUAGCUAACGCGUUAAGUGCACCGCCUGGGGAGUACGGCCGCAAGGCUAAAACUCAAAGAAAUUGACGGGGGCCCGCACAAGCGGUGGAGCAUGUGGCUUAAUUCGAUGCAACGCGAAGAACCUUACCAAGGCUUGACAUGCAAUUGCACGCUCUGCGAAAGCAGAGCUCCUUCGAGGGUAUUGCACAGGUGC
rnacentral:rRNA from 1 species